rnacentral:rRNA from 1 species
ACGCACGCUGGCGGCGUGCCUAAUACCUGCCAGUCGAACGCUUCUUUCCUCCCGAGUGCUUGCACUCAAUUGGAAAGAGGAGUGGCGGACGGGUGAGUAACACGUGGGUAACCUACCCAUCAGAGGGGGAUAACACUUGGAAACAGGUGCUAAUACCGCAUAACAGUUUAUGCCGCAUGGCAUAAGAGUGAAAGGCGCUUUCGGGUGUCGUUGAUGGAUGGACCCGCGGUGCAUUAGCUAGUUGGUGAGGUAACGGCUCACCAAGGCCACGAUGCAUAGCCGACCUGAGAGGGUGAUCGGCCACACUGGGACUGAGACACGGCCCAGACUCCUACGGGAGGCAGCAGGAGGGAAUCUUCGGCAAUGGACGAAAGUCUGACCGAGCAACGCCGCGUGAGUGAAGAAGGUUUUCGGAUCGUAAAACGCUGUUGUUAGAGAAGAACAAGGACGUUAGUAACGGAACGUCCCCUGACGGUAUCUAACCAGAAAGCCACGGCUAACUACGU